rnacentral:rRNA from 1 species
AUGAAACACUCCUACGGGAGGCAGCAGUGGGGAAUAUUGGACAAUGGGCGCAAGCCUGAUCCAGCCAUGCCGCGUGAGUGAUGAAGGCCCUAGGGUUGUAAAGCUCUUUCACCGGUGAAGAUAAUGACGGUAACCGGAGAAGAAGCCCCGGCUAACUUCGUGCCAGCAGCCGCGGUAAUACGAAGGGGGCUAGCGUUGUUCGGAAUUACUGGGCGUAAAGCGCACGUAGGCGGAUUGUUUAGUGAGGGGUGAAAUCCCAGGGCUCAACCCUGGAACUGCCUCUCAUACUGGCAAUCUCGAGUUCGAGAGAGGUGAGUGGAAUUCCGAGUGUAGAGGUGAAAUUCGUAGAUAUUCGGAGGAACACCAGUGGCGAAGGCGGCUCACUGGCUCGAUACUGACGCUGAGGUGCGAAAGCGUGGGGAGCAAACAGGAUUAGAAACCCCUGUAGUCCGAAGUUC